AGAGUUUGAUCAUGGCUCAGGACGAACGCUGGCGGCGUGCUUAACACAUGCAAGUCGAACGAGGUUCAUUUGGUGGUAACACCAGAGAAGACCUAGUGGCGAACGGGUGAGUAACACGUGAGCAACCUACCCCGAAGAUCGGGAUAACACCGGGAAACCGAUGCUAAUACCGAAUACCCCCACCGGGUCGCAUGGCCUGAUGAGGAAAUGGGUUUCUGCUUCGGGAGGGGCUCGCGGCCUAUCAGCUUGUUGGCAGGGUAAUGGCCUACCAAGGCAACGACGGGUAGCUGGUCUGAGAGGACGACCAGCCACACUGGGACUGAGACACGGCCCAGACUCCUACGGGAGGCAGCAGUGGGGAAUCUUGCGCAAUGGGCGAAAGCCUGACGCAGCAACGCCGCGUGAGGGAUGAAGGCCUUUGGGUUGUAAACCUCUUUCAGCAGGGACGAUUGUGACGGUACCUGCAGAAGAAGCCCCGGCUAACUACGUGCCAGCAGCCGCGGUGAUACGUAGGGGGCAAGCGUUGUCCGGAUUUAUUGGGCGUAAAGAGCUCGUAGGCGGUUUGAUAAGUCGGGUGUGAAAUCUCCAGGCUCAACCCGGAGUCGCCACUCGAUACUGUCAUGACUAGAGUCCGGUAGAGGAGCGCGGAAUUCCUGGUGUAGCGGUGAAAUGCGCUGAUAUCAGGAGGAACACCAGCAGCGAAGGCGGCGCUCUGGGCCGGUACUGACGCUGAGGAGCGAAAGCGUGGGUAGCAAACAGGAUUAGAUACCCUGGUAGUCCACGCCGUAAACGUUGGGCACUAGAUGUGGGACCUUAUCGACGGGUUCCGUAUCGUAGCUAACGCAUUAAGUGCCCCGCCUGGGGAGUACGGCCGCAAGGCUAAAACUCAAAGGAAUUGACGGGGGCCCGCACAAGCGGCGGAGCAUGUGGCUUAAUUCGAUGAAACGCGAAGAACCUUACCUGGGCUUGACAUGUAAGGAAAAACUGCAGAGAUGCAGCGUCCUUCGGGGCCUUACACAGGUGGUGCAUGGCUGUUGUCAGCUCGUGUCGUGAGAUGUUGGGUUAAGUCCCGCAACGAGCGCAACCCUCGUCCCAUGUUGCCAGCGGGUUAUGCCGGGCACUCUUGGGAGACCGCCGAGGUCAACUCGGAGGAAGGUGGGGAUGACGUCAAGUCAUCAUGCCCCUUACGUCCAGGGCUGCACACAUGCUACAAUGGUCGGUACAACGGGACGCUAACUCGCGAGAGUGAGCAAAUCCCAAAAGCCGGUCUCAGUUCGGAUCGCAGUCUGCAACUCGACUGCGUGAAGUCGGAGUCGCUAGUAAUCCCGGAUCAGCAACGCCGGGGUGAAUACGUUCCCGGGCCUUGUACACACCGCCCGUCACACCACGAAAGUCGGCAGCACCCGAAGCCGGUGGCCCAACCAGUUUUCUGGAGGGAGCCGUCGAAGGUGGGGUUGGCGAUUGGGGUGAAGUCGUAACAAGGUAACCGUA
rnacentral:rRNA from 1 species